GUCCCGAGGGGCGUCUCCGCGCGCCAUGGCUGUCGCAGUCCUAUGCGCCAGGCCGGGUGCAGGGCGGCUGCAUCUGCGCCUGUGCGGGGCUGGGAGGCCGAAGGACGGCGAGGCUGGCCGGUGUCCUGGAAUCCCAAGGUUCAGAAUUGGGACCAAGAAGGCUGCCUCAACUGGACCAGGGCAGGGGGAGCCUGAACCAGUGGAAAACUGCCGCUGAGAGGUGCCACAGGAAUGAAUUCCAGCCAGUUUCUUUGCCUCCCUUAGGGGCUACUAAGUCAGAAUGCUGGUGUCCUUCUCUGUUUAUCUGUUGAAACCCUGAUCACCAACACAAUGAUCCAUCGACCUGUGAAUUAAUGCCUUAGGAGGACAUGCCUCUUAAAGGCCUCACCUGACUGGACCCCACACUCUCCCAGUGAAGGCCGUGGUCACUUACGGUGUAAUCCCAGCAAUUGCAGCAUGGAGAGCUGAGGCAAGAGGACCUCAAGGCCAGUCACAGCUACAUGCUCCCAUGUGCUGCUGGAAUGACAGGAAUAAACCACUAUUUCUGGGCUCGGUGACCAUUUUAUUAAAACCAAAGAAGAAAGGCAAGCGUCAGAUCCUGGGACCAAAGCGGGGACGAAGCUGCCAGAUCUGAGUUUCCUCUUACAUAUGUUCUUCUGGCUUAACAUUCUAACUUCAAAGACGGUGGAGAAAUAAGGUGGGUUUUUUGUUUUUUUUUUUUUUUAGAUGGGAAUCUCAUUUCACAGCCUGAACUCUCUGUGUAGCUAAAGAUGUCCUUGAACUCCUGAUUGUCCUGCCUCCGCCUUCCCAGUGGUGAAGUUACAGGUGUGCACCCCCCACCUGCCCCUAACGUUAUAGGUUCAGGACCUCGAGGGAUGACCCAGUGCCUUGGAGCAGUUUCUGUUCUCCCAGCACACACAUGGCAGCUCAGAACCAACUCCAGGGGACCCAAUGCUUUAUUUUUGGCCUCCCUGGAAACCAGACACACACAUGGCACACACAUGAACAUGCAAAGGCAAACACUCAAAACAUUCAUACACACAAAACUAAAUCAAAAAUAAAAAUAAAUUAAAAAAAUAAUAAAUCGGGUUGUAAGUGCGAGUUGAUAUGGUUGGAUAGGAGUCCCUCAGACCAAGGAGUCCCUUGGUCACCAGCUUGGGUCGCCUCAUUAGGAGGUGACUGACUCUUACAUGUGGCUAAUAAGAGGAAGUUACACCGGUUGGCUGGAGAGAUGGCUCAGCAGUUAAGAGCACUGGCUGCUCCUCCAAAGAAUCGAGGCUCCAUUCCUAGCACCCCUAUGUGUUGGGGUGAUGUUUUUGCGCACUGUGUAUUCAGAUGCUGAUUUCUAGACGUAGAGCUCUGAUUAAAGUCCAGACUUUGGGGCUGUCGCCAUUAUGAAGCGCCUCCUGUCUUGGCGUGCUGUCAUAAUUGUUCUCCAUCGUCUUCUGACUGGCUGAGCAAAGAGCCGAGCAGCCAGUAGCUGGGCAGGAGAGGGUAAGUGGGGACUUCCAGGCCCAGGGGGAGGGUCUCAGUGGGGACCAGGGAAGAAGCCAUUGCAAAACCUAUGAAGAGGCAGGUGCCAGAGCGAGACUAAGAUGUCAGGGAAGUAGGCCAGGCCAGUGUUCGAAUGGCCGAGCAUCUGCCCGGCCAUAGUGCCUGGAGCUUUUAAUACAUAUAAAGGUCUCCUUGUCAUUAUUUAGAGCAAGAGCAGGCUUAGAAAAAGGUUACAUUUUACCCACACAGCAGCUCCCAAAUGUCUGUAACUUUAGGGCACCCUUAUACAGACAUAAAUAAAGUAAUAAAUCAUUAAAAAAAUGAAAGUAAUUACAUCAUCGAGGGUGUGCCCUUUAAGGGAAUACUUGGACCAUGGAUCCUAUUGCUCCUCAGUUUGUCUCUCUGCCACCACCAGUGACAAGGUCCCCCAUCCUCCACUCUGUGCCCUACCACAGCACACUGAGUGAUCCAGGCCUAAGGCUAGAGCCGAGCAGACAUAGACCGAAAUCUCAGAAAAUGUGAACCAAAUAAGUGUCCACCCUUGCAAGCUGCAGCUAUGGCUUGGGCAUUAAAUAAAGGCUUAUUCCCGAAAGCAGCUGUGUUCAGAGAUGAGCUCUCGAGAGCUCUGACUCAGGACGGGACUGGCCCAUCUGUGGAUUCCUGGCUCCGGGCUGCCGGGAGAAGGUGGGGAUUCCGAGAAGGUAGGAGAUGGUUGGAGCAAGUAAGAACACGCCCUUGAAAGGUCUGUUUCCUUCCUGGCCCCGUCCUCCUCUCUCCCUGCUUCCUGGCCACUGUGAGCCAAGCGGCUCCAUUCUGCCUUGCUCUCCUGUCGUCAUGACUGUCUCGCCACAGGACCAGAAACGAGGGAGCCAACUGUGAACCAAAAAUAAAUUAUUCCUAAUUACAGCUGAUUCCUCAGGUAUCCUGUCAUAGCCACGGAAAGCUGACUAACGUGGCUGAUUAUCUCAGGCCCUUUGUCACGCUGACGCAGAGCUGACUAACACACCGGGGUACUUCUUUCAAAGGAAACCCGUUCAGCAUUCGGCGGCUUAAAAUGGUUGAGAUGAAACGGAUGUGUUUCACCUACAGGAAAAAAGAUGCCAGGGGCGCCUGCGUUAGGGCUAGAACGCGAUGGGUGACAUUGCACCUGAUACCAGGUGGGGUCAAAAAUUAGGCCAGGUGGCGCAUAACCACACGGUGCCUUCCAGACGGUGCCAAGGUCGGUGAUGAAGCUGGAGAUGCCAGCAGCUUUGUUCUGAGCCUCGCGGCUGGUAGGUCCAUAGGCGUGGCUCCUGCUAUUUCUGUUGCAGGUUAGAGACCCAAAGACCACACAGCACGACCAAAGGCCCAAGCCCAACUGAGAGUCUGUGUUAAGCCGGGUGGUGACUGCCCGGAGAGAAACUUCCAACAGAGCAUCCCCGAACGCAUGCUACAGGAAGCUUUUAAAGGCAAAGGACACAGAAAAACUGCAUUCCAGUUGGCAGUGGCGGUGGGGAAGUUAGGAAAGCAAGCAGUUUAACAAAAAUCAAGAACCAUGCCUAUAGCUGGGCAAUUUGACCCAGAGUUUCCAGAGCAGGAUUUCCCACAGGACUGUUCCCAGUGGGAACAAAAGAAGGGGCGGGAUCAGUUUUGGGCUAAAUUAAAGAUCACUCCAGCUGAGACAAGAUGGAGGAACCCUUGCUCUGUCACAUAACUGCACUCAGGAGGAGGUGGGCCGUGGUGAUUGACAGCUAUAGUUAGAGAUUAACAAUCGCUAAAAUCUAACAUGCCCCCAAGAAGUACAGCUACAAUAAGGAAGCCCCAGCCCUGACUGCCUCCCUUUGCUUCUUUCUUUCUGGUUGAAAUGGGUCUUACUUUAUGUAUCAGGCCAGCCUUGGACUCACAGCAAUCCUCCUGACUCAGCUUCCCAAAUGCUGGGAUGAUAGACCUGUGUACCAUGCCUGGUUUAUGCAGACUGAGAUUGGUAUUUAGAUUUGGUAUAUAGAACCAGAUGAGCCUAACCAGCCAGAGCUAAAUCUAAAGAGGUCUACAUUCCCCUGUCUCUUCUAAUCUUUCUCUCCUACCUAGGGUUGGGGCGGGGAGGUGGGAAGGAGAUAGAGGCAUUUAAGGAAACCAAAAUAAAAUAAAGUCGAAAAGGAGCACCUACAGUGAUCAAAUUAGCUGAAUAGAUCACUGUGGGACACAUGAUCCCCACCACCAGGGGAGCCAGCCCAGAGCAAGAGUACAUUCAAGAUCUGUCCAAACCCUGAAAAUCUCAUCUUGCUUCGGGCAGGAGUAAGGACUCCCUUCCUGUUCUGGGCCUGCAAAGCUCCUCUACCACCCUGGAGGCGGUCACAGGGCCUGUUGGCCAGCUUUCAGAUUAAGAUUUCCUAUUUCCUUGUAAGGAUGUGUUCCGCCAGCACCCGGAAUUCCUCUCCAUGCAAAUGAAGCAUUCCCAGCAUCUCAGCCCCAAGGUUUAUAUAGUCCUUAUGUCCCCUCCCACCCAGGAAAAGAGAGCUGAUUCACUUAAAACUGUCUUGGAGAAGGGCCUUUUCUAUCUCACUCACCACUAAAUGAGAUGAGAUCCUGCUAACCCACCCACCUGGCUGGAUGCCUUGGGGGAAGAAGCUGGGCUGGCUGGGCAGAUCACUCAUCUGUCUCGAUUUAGACAUCACUGUACUUAGUAGUCUAACUUUACAAAUAAUAAAACACAUUUUUUUCUUAUGUAUACAGUGUUCUGACUGCAAGUACACCUACACGCCAGAAGGGGGCACUAGAUGUCACUAGAGAUGGUUGUGAACCACCGUGUGGGUGCUGGGAAUUGAACUCAGGACCUUUGAAAGAGCGGACAGUGAAGAUGGCUUAAACUCUGGGCCAUCUCUCCAGCUCCUAACAUACAUUUUUUUAACUUAGUUUUAUUAAUUAAUUUUUAAAGGACGCAUUGUUUAUUGAGCACAGUGCCCGGGAGCUGCCUGGACAGUUGGUCCAAGUGUUGCCUGUGGCCGUGACGUUUAUUAUUGUUCUACAAAUACAUAAAAUCAUAAAAGCAAUAUGAUAACUCAAAGGACAGCUCUGCCACCCUAGCAGUGUCCUUCCUGUUGUUAGUCUGUGACAAGGCCCUGCCCACAGACCUUUCCAGCUGCAGGUCUGUGCUGUCUGAGAGUUUUGGAUUUGCCGGACAGACUGAAGCAGUGUCCAACCUCUGGGUGCAGUCCCUCGAAGCUGUGUGACGCAUCCCAGAUUAGAGGUGAUAAUGUAUUUAUCAGCACAGGGUUGCUAAACAUUCACAUUUAAAAGAAGUAACUGGGCAAAAAAGGAAAGGUCCCUCAAAAUUCUACCUGAUGGACAGGAUUUUGAGGGUGGAGACUCUUACCUGUUUCCUGGGCAUCCGACACCCUCUUCUGGCCUUUGUAGGCACCAGGUAGGCAGAAAGGGAUCCAGGAAAGGAGGCUGGGAGGUGGCUCAGUGGGUAGUGUUUGCUGUGUAAGCCUGAGGGUCUGGGUUUGAGUCCCUGGCACCUACAGGAAAGCUGGGCACAGCAGCAUACAGGUACCACUGUGGAACUGGGUAGCCAGAGACGCAAGCAUCCUGCAGGCUUUCUGCAGU